GCCGGCCAAGGUCAACUCACCACCAUGGGGUAGUGCUUGUGCUGCACAUCCAGCUUGAAGAAUGUCUGCUGUUUGGAAAAGAAAAACAACUCACAGCUUUCCAGAAGCAGAAUGGCUAUCAUUAAUGCAUUUUAUCAGUGCUUUCAAACACGAUUGACUGCUGAUGUUUAUGAAUUACAGUGAGAGUGGGUGAUACAGGCAAAGCAGAAGUGGGAGGCAGAUGUGACAUUAGAGGAAGAAGGAAAAAAAGAGCUCAUUUGCCAAAGGUCUGCAGACCACAGUCAAAUUACCUACAAAGUGAGGUGUCAGCUGAGACAGUUCCUCACAGAAAGUGCUGAUGUGAAACAGAACUGAGAAAUGUCCAGAGCUGUCAGGAUGUGAAAGCCUGCAGAUAUGUGUGUGCCUGUUCACUGCUGGGAUUCCUGACUCGACUCCAAAGGCUGUGGGAGGUAGUCGAGGUUGAGACACCUGUUUCUGAUCCAGCUCACAGACCAAACAACUGAACCCUUUCCCUCCCCCUUUCUUAGUGUGCUCACCACUGCUCAGUGGUUAGAUACAUACUGCUCACCAAAGACAGAGGGAGUACAUAGUCUUCAGGUUGAAGCACUGAGGUGGGAUGCGCGCAUGUCGGAUUCAGUUCUUUCUCCCCACGCUAUAUAAAUGCCAUGUAUCAAGCGAGGCUGCAACUGGUAGAUGUUAGUGUAGUUAAAAAAAAAAAAAAAAAAAAAGACAAUCAAAUGUCAUUUUCACAGUUCUACCUUGGGCAGUAUGGCACAGUUAAUUGCCAGCUGGAACAAUGUUCUUUUAGUUUUCAUGAUUGGAGAUGCAGGCAUUGGUAUGAAUGAGCAGAGGUGAUACUCUGAUUCACUUGGGAAUAGCCUAGUAGUUGCUUUCCAAGGUGUAAGUAUUUGAGCCUCAGGAUGGAAGAAUAUGAGGGUUGAUGAUAGAAGCUUAACGGGAGUUCCAAGGUGGUAAAAUGUAAGUCAGUUCAAAUUCCAUUCAAUAAAGAAAUAUUACUUUGUAUCCUAAACUCAACAAGUUAUCAGACCUUGCAAAACAUUCAUAAGAACAAAGAGUAAUUCCUUAUAUAUUAAAUCUUUACUGUAUUUUAGCUUUGAAUACUGGAGCAUUGUUUUACUGGGGGAGGUGUGGUGGUCUAGCUUUUAAAAUUUGUUGGUAGUAAUUUUGUAUUACAGAAAAUCUUACUUCAGAAGCAGCCAGUUUAGCAGGAAGCCAUUAAAUGAAUAAAAGGGAAAUGUCAAGAAUUACAUGGUCUGAGGACUGGCUGAUAUUGCAGUGUGAA